UACGUAGGGGGCAAGCGUUGUCCGGAAUCAUUGGGCGUAAAGAGCGCGUAGGCGGCCCUGUAAGUCCGCUGUGAAAGUCAAGGGCUCAACCCUUGAAUGCCGGUGGAUACUGUCGGGCUAGAGUCCGGAAGGGGCGAGUGGAAUUCCUGGGUGUAGCGGUGAAAUGCGCAGAUAUCAGGAGGAACACCGAUGGCGAAGGCAGGUCUCUGGGCAUUAACUGACGCUGAGGAGCGAAAGCAUGGGGAGCGAACAGG
rnacentral:rRNA from 1 species